rnacentral:tRNA from 1 species
GGGCACAUGGUGUAGUUGGUUAUCACGCUCGCUUAGCAUGUUCUUUACUGCGAGAGGUGUUGGGUUCAAUUCCCAAUGUGUCCA